AAACAAAAGAUAAUGCGCUCGGAGCGAAACGCUAUUCAAUUACUUCACCUAUGAAAUGUCCCCACCGCCAUGCCGGAUUUCACCACUGGCGAUGGCGGAUAGCCUAACCCUUGAAUCUUUAUAUCAGAAUACUCGCCACCCCUCCCUCUAUGUCAAUCUAAUACUAAUUUCCUCCAGUUUCUUUCCCUAAGCCCAAAUCGAAGGGUAACUCAAAUUAAACCUAAAUUUCUAGAUCCACAAAUCAACUGAUGUGGUAAGGGAAUUGAAACCUAUGAGGAUAUGGCUUUAAAUCUUGCAGCACGAAACUACACUAUGUUGGCGAUCAAAGAAAUAACAAAAGAUUGUUUACCUGUCGGAGUAGCUUCGACGAUGCUUCAGAAGCGAUGUUGUUAAAGAAGUCCAGAUAUUUUACUUCUUAGGUUCGCGAGGAGUUGUUGAGAUUUCGAAUGACUUCUUGGUUGCUAAUGAGAGAGACUUGAAGAAUCAAUCCCGACACUGCAGUGAAGAUCUUCAAGGCUCCAAUUCUGAGUUUCUCUGGUGAAAACUAAAGAUUCAAUUUUGGGGAGUGAAGUUUGAAGAAUCCCCCAGGUUGAAGAAGAUGACGAGGAGAAAGUUUGAAAAUGUAGAGUGAAGGGUGUGAAGAACUUGGAGAUUUUAGUUAUGAGUUUGUUGAAAAAUGAAUCAAAAAAAAAAUCUCCUGAGAAUGAGCAAGGCAAGUCUUGUUUAUAGAUUUCCUCAUUCCCCAAAUUCUGUUAGAAAUGCAGGUUAAAUAUAGAUGAAAUUUUUAUUAGAAUCGUGUGAAAUGCCAAAGUUAGUUAGGAAUGAAUAUUUAUGUUAUAAGGUUAGUUAGAGUCAUAAGCAUCAGUUCAUACUUGGGUUCAAAA